CAGGGGUGAGGUCGUUGCUAUGCCACACAGAAAGCCAAUCAGUGAGAGGAGGAUUGCCAGGAAAGAAGCCUUUUUAUUCAUGCGAUGUCAGCCCAGGAAAAUAGGAGAUCAGUCUCAAAUCUGUCUCCCCUACCAACUGAAAUUGAGGGCUUUAUGUAUCAGGAGGAGGAAUCAAAUAUAGAUACCUGGAGAAUUCCAAGAAUACAGUCUAAGUUUCUAACUUUCCUUGCUAGUGUAAUUAUGUGAAUAAUUUCUGGCCAAUAAGACAAGCAAAAGAAUUGUGUGCAACUUCUGGGAAGAGAAGAGAUGUGACUUCCUUCAUCUUGUUCUUCACCUUGCUGUCUGGAAUAUGAACUUGAUGGCUGGAACUUGAGCAGCCUUCUUGGAUCAGAAGGCGGCCUGGGAAUAGGAAUAGAGCUGAAGAGAAGCCGCUGCAUUCUUGAAAAUUAUAAAGAUGCCAUGCCAUUUCAGCUUGCUUUCCUGUGGACUUCAUUUAUAUGUAUGAAAUAAAAGUUUAUAUUGUUUAAGCUCCUGUGGGUUUUCUGUCACUUGCAACUAAAUACAAACUUAUAUAAUUUGAAAUGUUAAGAAAUUAAAGAAUUUUUAGGAAUAAUAGCAAUAUAUAAAGCAUCUUACAGUAAAUUAGAUUGUUGCUAAGGAAAUGUUCAUUCUUCCCCUUUCCAUAGAAGGAACACACUUCCC
rnacentral:lncRNA from 1 species